UACGAAGGGGGCUAGCGUUGUUCGGAAUUACUGGGCGUAAAGGGCGCGUAGGCGGUCCUGAUCGUCGGAUGUGAAAGGCCUGGGCUCAACCUGGGAAUGGCAUCCGAUACGGCGGGACUAGAGUGUGGGAGAGGUUGGUGGAAUUCCCAGUGUAGAGGUGAAAUUCGUAGAUAUCGGGAGGAACACCGGUGGCGAAGGCGGCGACCUGGGUGGAUACUGACGCUGAGGCGCGAAAGCGUGGGGAGCAAACAGG
rnacentral:rRNA from 1 species